AGCAACCUGCCCUAGGCUUUGGGAUAACCCUCGGAAACGGGGGCUAAUACCGAAUAUUCACUUGCGGACGCAUGUUUGUGGGUGGAAAGUUUUUCGGCUUGGGAUGGGCUCGCGGCCUAUCAGCUUGUUGGUGGGGUGAUGGCCUACCAAGGCGACGACGGGUAGCCGGCCUGAGAGGGCGACCGGCCACACUGGGACUGAGACACGGCCCAGACUCCUACGGGAGGCAGCAGUGGGGAAUAUUGCACAAUGGGCGGAAGCCUGAUGCAGCGACGCCGCGUGAGGGAUGACGGCCUUCGGGUUGUAAACCUCUUUCAGCAGGGACGAAGCGCAAGUGACGGUACCUGCAGAAGAAGCGCCGGCCAACUACGUGCCAGCAGCCGCGGUAAGACGUAGGGCGCGAGCGUUGUCCGGAUUUAUUGGGCGUAAAGAGCUCGUAGGCGGCUUGUCGCGUCGACUGUGAAAACCCGUGGCUCAACUGCGGGCCUGCAGUCGAUACGGGCAGGCUAGAGUUCGGUAGGGGAGACUGGAAUUCCUGGUGUAGCGGUGAAAUGCGCAGAUAUCAGGAGGAACACCGGUGGCGAAGGCGGGUCUCUGGGCCGAUACUGACGCUGAGGAGCGAAAGCGUGGGGAGCGAACAGGAUUAGAUACCCUGGUAGUCCACGCUGUAAACGUUGGGCGCUANGUGUGGGGGGCCUCUCCGGUUCUCUGUGCCGCAGCUAACGCAUUAAG
rnacentral:rRNA from 1 species